rnacentral:lncRNA from 13 species
GACACGUUGGGGAAACUGCAAAAACAACUUUCAACUGUAGCAUUUGAUUUCAACACACACCACAAGCUAUUGCUCUUUGCUACGAUUUUGAACUGAAGAAAAAGAAAGGUGUUCAAAUACCAUACCUCUAAAAUAUUUUUGUUUUCUUUGAAAUAACAGGAAGAAAACACUUCCUUACAACCACUUGAAACAACAAGGCAGGUGCAAUCAUUACAGACUUUGCUCUCUUGCAUCUCCUCCAGAAAACUUCCCCAGUGGCUAAGAAUUUUCCUCUUUUUUCAAACUUGAGAAGCAAAAGUGCUGUAACAAUUGAGAAACUAUUCAGAGGAAGAAUGCCAACUUUUGACAAGUCAACUUUUAUCUUACUGAAGGGACCAGAAGAUAUCAUCAGAUGAAAGGAAAAUUGAUGAUUGAUGAGGCCUUUGGCACAAAAAGUCAUAUCUAGGUGUGCUGCCUGAUUCGGGUCACCCACUUUCUCUCUACUCUACCCACUACUCC